UACAGAGGUCCCAAGCGUUGUUCGGAUUCAUUGGGCGUAAAGGGUGCGUAGGCGGCGCGGUAAGUCGGGUGUGAAAUCGUCGGGCUUAACUCCGAAACUGCAUUCGAUACUGCCGUGCUUGAGGACUGGAGAGGAGACUGGAAUUUACGGUGUAGCGGUGAAAUGCGUGAGAUAUCGGAGGAACACCGGGUGGCGAAGGCGGCAUCCUGGACCAACACUGACGCCUGAGGAGCGAAAGCC
rnacentral:rRNA from 1 species